AUUUGCAUAGCUCAAUGGUAGAGCACUGACAUCACAUCAGUGGUUGUAGGAUUCGAUUCCUGCUGCUUAAA
rnacentral:tRNA from 1 species